rnacentral:tRNA from 1 species
CCUGGUAGCUCAGAUGGUAAAGAAUCUGCCUGCAACGCAGGAGACCCGGGUUCAAUCCCUGGGUCAGGA